rnacentral:lncRNA from 1 species
CUCGAGUGUCCAUCCCGCAUAACUUGGGAUUAGAGCAUAAGCGUUCCCAGGAACUACUAACCUUACCAUCUUGGCCGUUUCAUUUGUCUUCCACCAGUUCUGGAAAGAGAAGGCCUAGAAGUUCAGAAAAAAAAGUCAAAGGAACAACUGACUUGGCUCUAUAAAAAUUAAAAGUAAGCCUUUGGCAGAGGCCAGUUAUAAUAACCAGAAGUCUCCUCCAGCUGUUUUUAGAGCUACUUUUUUCAUGAAGAAAUGCC